AGUGGUUACACGUACAAACAGGUAUGUAUAUAUAAUUGGAGUUCUCAGGGGUUUAAAGAUAAUCUAAAUGGGUACAACUAAUAAAUGGGAGGAUCGCCUAAUACACACAAAAAAAAAAGAAGAGACUAAGAUUAACAUGGGACGGGAUCAACCGUACUACCACUUGUGUGUCAUUGGGGAUCUGUAUGCCUGUGUUGAGUGCCCAUGUCCGGGCGUGUGCCGGUUCAAUGGGCUGAUUGUCAUUGAUGGCCCCUGGGUGGGUUUUUCGGCGACUGAUCUCGGUCAUCUCCGCAGUGUUGAGAGCGCCAGCCUCCCAGAUUUGCCUGAUAACUUUGGCGUCUUUCCGCAUUGUAGUGAUGUCCU
rnacentral:lncRNA from 1 species